rnacentral:sRNA from 1 species
AAAUUCUUUGUCUCUCUUCUCUCUCA